GAUGAACGCUAGCGGCAGGCUUAAUACAUGCAAGUCGAGGGGCAGCACGGUUAGCAAUAACUGGUGGCGACCGGCGCACGGGUGCGUAACACGUAUACAAUCUACCUUAAACAGGGGGAUAGCCUUUCGAAAGAGAGAUUAAUACCCCGUAAUAAAUUGAACGGCAUCGUUUGAUUUUGAAAGCUUCGGCGGUUUGAGAUGAGUAUGCGUCUGAUUAGCUAGUUGGUGAGGUAACGGCUCACCAAGGCGACGAUCAGUAGGGGAUCUGAGAGGACUAACCCCCCACACUGGUACUGAGACACGGACCAGACUCCUACGGGAGGCAGCAGUAAGGAAUAUUGGUCAAUGGAGGCAACUCUGAACCAGCCAUGCCGCGUGCAGGAUGACGGCCCUAUGGGUUGUAAACUGCUUUUAUACAAGAGAAAACCCUGGUACGUGUACCAGGUUGAUAGUAUUGUAAGAUAAGCAUCGGCUAACUUUCGUGCCAGCAGCCGCGGUAAU
rnacentral:rRNA from 1 species